UAAAAAAAACAUCAAUGCCGCAUGGGGAAAAAAUUUCAAAAGAAAAAACGAAUCUCACAACUCUAUCUUAAGUUCUAAUAAAUUCAUAAAAUUAAUCUUAAAAAUCAUUUACUUUAAUUUCUUUCUCCUCUCUGUUUCUAAGGUAUCCGAUAUAAUGGCAGCCAUGUUGAACGCCCUACUGCUAGUUAUUGUUCUGAUACUUAGCAUUUCACUUGCUACAGCAGAUGACGAAAUCGAAGUUCUUCCAGUCGAUGAAGGCAACUGGGUCCUGAACACAAGUCUUUGGAACGUUUUGAGAGGUUCAGUGGUGGAAUAGCACUCAGUGGAGGAUUUACUGAUUUGUCCAGAUUCAUCCAUGAGGACUUCUUUUGAUCGACAUAUCUAAAUAAUUUUUGUUAUCAAAUGUUUAAAUAAAUGGGCA